rnacentral:ncRNA from 2 species
UUUUUCAUAUAUAAUAUUAUUCUGUUUUUAUAUGGGGGGAAUGAGGGUGAAAGUCCUUCGCUGGCACGCAACCGUAAAGUUUAAUUUAUUAAUACUAAAUUAACGAAGUCGGAUUACCCGCUAAUAAAUAAUCAGUCGA